UACGUAGGUGGCAAGCGUUGUCCGGAAUUAUUGGGCGUAAAGCGCGCGCAGGCGGCCUCUUAAGUCUGAUGUGAAAGCCCCCCGGCUCAACCGGGGGAGGGCCAUUGGAAACUGGGAGGCUUGAGUAUAGGAGAGAAGAGUGGAAUUCCACGUGUAGCGGUGAAAUGCGUAGAGAUGUGGAGGAACACCAGUGGCGAAGGCGACUCUUUGGCCUAUAACUGACGCUGAGGCGCGAAAGCGUGGGGAGCAAACAGG
rnacentral:rRNA from 1 species